UUGUAAGCGCACGCACAACACAGGGAAGCUACUGCUCUGCGUAGCAUUGUUCUUCGCAUCGAAUUAAAUGGCAUCGACGCUGCCAAAACUCUUCAGAAGAUCCGUGGACGCAAGAUUAAUUGCUUCUCUACUCGAUUCACAAUUUCCAAAGCUCAUACCAUCUCUAACUGUACGUCCCCAAAUCCACCUCGGGGCCAAAAUUGGCUAUCGCGACACAAGUAAUGACAGACCCUUCUUGGGGCUACCAAAAGCAGAUGCCUUGACCCAUGUUCAGUCUUCGUUGUUUUACCCAAGUUUUUUAUAUGGGUUUUGUCUAAAUCCGAUUUCGUUGAAUGGGUUUAUCGAGUCUGAGGGAAAUGAAGAGGUUUCCAGUGAUUCAGGGGCGGUGUGGGCUGAUAGUGUAAAGAAGAAGAGAAAGAAGAAGAUGAACAAGCACAAGUACCAGAAGCUGAGAAAGCGGAUCGGAAGGCAGACCUAGCUACAAUUGACCAGAUAAUUAGUGUGCACUGUCUGGCAGCUCUUGCUUCCUUCCAUUUAUCCAGAAAGGAAAUUACUUUGGCAUUGUUUAAGGAGCUGUGUCUUCUCUCUCUCUUUCUCCUCACCGGCCCUUGGAAGUUGGAACCUUAACCUGCAUUCGACACGGCCACCGAUGACCAAACUAUAGGAGCUGGUAGGAGCAGUUAUAUGUCAUUCUGCUUGAUUUAGGGUUUGGUUGUUGAAAUUUGGAUGCUUAAGCUAUACAUGCAGGCUGCACUAUUUCAUUAUUAUGUAAAUUAUUCAUGAUAGAAUUCUGAGAAACCAGUAAAAGUGUUUUUGAAUUUUGACUUUGGGACAAACAUCUAUAGUAACCUAACUUCAAGAUUGAGAUUAAUUUCUUCAAGUUGAUGAUUUAGUGUCACGCCAAGGUGCAAAACAUUAUGUAAUACUAGUCUUAUGAGUGAUUAUAUAUUAGCGAUAGAUAGAUAUGAAAGACAUGCAAGGGAGUCAAAACCUUUCAUAUAUAAAUGGGGCGUUUCAGUGUUUGAAAUCUGAGUGUUGUUUCUUCAGGGGUCAGGGCAGACCCCAUAGUUGUCAAAAGCGCUCCAAGCCCUCACUUAAGCACUGCAGCCAGCGAAGUGCUGCCCUUGGGCUUCACCAGCCUUGAAGCACAACACCUUCACUGCAGCCAUGCUAAAGUGAGCUCUUUGAGUGAAGCGCAAAAGGCUGGACUUUUCUAAAAUCAGUAAUAUUCUGUAUUUUUGUGUGUGUAAUUGGAUCUUGUAAUUUGGGUGUUAAAUUUUACAAGUAAAAAUGGGCCUCACUUAAAGCAUAAAAGCCCUUCCAAAACAAGUCCAGCGCAUGAAAAAAAAUUGACCUAAAACCUAAAAAGAAAAGAAGACUUCAGCAGUGGACGGAGUUGCUAGAUGUACAAAACAAGUCAUUUCUACUCCAGUACCUACUAACUAUCCAUUUUCUUGACAUCCCUGGUUGCUUCUAGCUUUUAUUAGCACAUAGCCUUUUAUUUUACUAUAUGUGUGUCAGUGUAUGCAUCUCAUACUUGCAUAGGCAAACAACACCCGUGCACAAGGCUCCCGCAGUGGAAAAAGUCGGGACAUGCUAUCAUAUAGCUGCCGAUAUUCUUUUAACUUAACACGGGAUUAAGAGAGUAAAGAUAUCGUAUCCAAACAGAUGUUGGUUUACUGAAUGGGAACAAAUGCUCCUUGGAUACAGAUGAACUGAACAAAAGUUUGCAGGAUAUUGGGUUCUCUGCAUUUUGGGGAAAUUCACAUAGUUGGACGCUUGUUCUUUGGAAAGUUUUGAUUUAGUCUAUGUUUAUAGUUGUGUCUUUUCACGUAGAUGAGAUUUGAGAUGCUUUGUAAUCUAUACCUGUGUCCUGAACUGGGAAAAUAUUAAAGAUUAGAUGGAACUGAAGGGAAAGGAGAAUGAGAGGAAAAGAUCUUUGAGAAGAGAAUCUUUAAUAACCAAAUGAGUACUAACACUAUAGAUAAAUUUUGACAUUAGUUUCUUCAAGUUGAUGGGGCUUAGUGUCACGCCAAGGUGCAGAAGAUUUGGAAUAUAAGUCUUAUGACUGAUUAUGUAUUAGUGAUAGAUAGAACUGAAGACAUGCAUGGGAGUCAAAACCUUUCAUGUAUAAUUCGGGCAUUUCAGUGUUUGAAAUCUGAUAUGUUUCUUCAGGGUAGAGAUGCAAAACCUUUCAUGUAUAAUUGAGGAUCUUAUGCUUUGGAACCUUGUCGUGGAACAGGGACGAUGACAAUGCAAAAUUUAGAUCACUUAUUGGAUACAUACUUUUAGUUUAUAUUUGUCAUCUCCGUACUUGUGUAAACAUAUGUGUGUUAAACUGUUCGGUGACCUCCAAAGGUUGUGUUUGAUCAAGCUGACUGGCAGGUUUUCCUAGGGGGUUACAGGGCUGACAAACCCGAUCUUCUAAGAAGGGUUUGAGUGAAAGCAUACUUGUCAUGACCUAAAAGAAGGUGAUGUAUGGCUGAGCAGGGCGAAGCGAGAGAAAACACCUGGAUUGUUUUCAAAAUAGUCAAAUGUAUCAAAUGUUAUAUAAGUUUGAAGUCAGUCUCUGUUUGUGCUUAGGCUCUUUGGAGCUUUGCUGGAUCGAUGCUCUGUACAUUGCUAGAGUAAGUCGGAAAGGUCUAAUGUUGAAUUUCUGGCAUGAAAAUGGACUCGAGUCUUGAAAGCGUACACCUAGACUUAGUUACUUAAGUUUGAAUCGGAUAGUAGGAAAAAGAAGCAGAUGAAAGUGCUCAUAUAAAGAUUGUUUACCACCGAAGAGUUUCUUAUUCCUUUUGCGGUGGGGUGCUUACUAUGACUAUAGGUUGUUAUUUGUUAUUUCGAGAUACUGUUUCUUACAGCUGGUGAUAUUCUUUUAACUUAAUGCGGGAUUAAGAGAGUAAAGAUACUGUAUUCAAACAGAUGUUGGUUUACUGAAUGGGAACAAAUGCUCCUUGGAUAUGGAUGAACUGAACAGAAGUCUGCAGGAUAUUGGGUUCUCUGCACUUGGGGGAAAUUCACAUAGUUGGACACUUGUUCUUUGGAAAGUUUUGAUUUGGUCUAUGUUUACAGUUGUGUGUCUUUUCACAUAGAUGAGAUUUGAGAUGCUUUGUAAUCUAUAACUGUGUCCUGAACUGGGAAAAUAUUGAAGAUUAGAUGGAACUGAAGGAAAAGGAGAAUGAGAGGAAAAGAUCUCUGAGAAGAGAAUCUUUAAUAACUAAAUGAGUACUAACACUAAAGAUAAAGUUUGAUUAUACUUCCCCAAACCAAAUUCACAUUAGGGUACGGAGAUGUCAUCUCAUCAUUUGCUUUUCUCUUAACUAGUCUCUAUCCACCUUUCAGUUCUUCAUACCAUGACAAGCUAGUGAAGCUACACAUGUUCAAGGCUUCAAGCUAACCAAGAAUGGGUCACAGGAUAGGAGGAUUGUGGUUGACAGGGAAGUGACUUUUUGUAAUAACACCUGGGGCGGUAUUAGAACAGCUUAGCUAGUGUUGACACUUGACAUUAUUAAUUGAUAGCGAACCUAAUAAUGUAAGUAGAAAGCCGCAAGUGUCUGACAUUCUCAUGUUACAUCUACAAUGUCUGUUUCUGAGUAGUAGUUAUGCUUGUAGAUUGUGGUUGAACAUGGUCUUUACUCUUUAUGUCCCAUUCAACCUCAAUCAGUCUUUAUGUUUGUUAAUUCCCUUUUCUUCUAUAAAUGUUUUUGAUGAGACCCACUCUUUUAGGUGAUGGGGACAGUCUUUAAAUUUAAG